rnacentral:rRNA from 1 species
CUUUUUCCACCGGAGCUUGCUCCACCGGAAAAAGAGGAGUGGCGAACGGGUGAGUAACACGUGGGUAACCUGCCCAUCAGAAGGGGAUAACACUUGGAAACAGGUGCUAAUACCGUAUAACAAUCGAAACCGCAUGGUUUUGAUUUGAAAGGCGCUUUCGGGUGUCGCUGAUGGAUGGACCCGCGGUGCAUUAGCUAGUUGGUGAGGUAACGGCUCACCAAGGCGACGAUGCAUAGCCGACCUGAGAGGGUGAUCGGCCACAUUGGGACUGAGACACGGCCCAAACUCCUACGGGAGGCAGCAGUAGGGAAUCUUCGGCAAUGGACGAAAGUCUGACCGAGCAACGCCGCGUGAGUGAAGAAGGUUUUCGGAUCGUAAAACUCUGUUGUUAGAGAAGAACAAGGAUGAGAGUAACUGUUCAUCCCUUGACGGUAUCUAACCAGAAAGCCACGGCUAACUACGUGCCAGCAGCCGCGGUAAUACGUAGGUGGCAAGCGUCGUCCGGAUUUAUUGGGCGUAAAGCGAGCGCAGGCGGUUUCUUAAGUCUGAUGUGAAAGCCCCCGGCUCAACCGGGGAGGGUCAUUGGAAACUGGGAGACUUGAGUGCAGAAGAGGAGAGUGGAAUUCCAUGUGUAGCGGUGAAAUGCGUAGAUAUAUGGAGGAACACCAGUGGCGAAGGCGGCUCUCUGGUCUGUAACUGACGCUGAGGCUCGAAAGCGUGGGG